rnacentral:rRNA from 1 species
UACGUAGGGGGCUAGCGUUGUCCGGAAUCAUUGGGCGUAAAGCGCGUGUAGGCGGUCCGGUAAGUCCGCUGUGAAAGUCGGGGGCUCAACCCUCGGAUGCCGGUGGAUACUGUCGGGCUUGAGUACGGAAGAGGCGAGUGGAAUUCCCGGUGUAGCGGUGAAAUGCGCAGAUAUCGGGAAGGAACACCAAUGGCGAAGGCAGCUCGCUGGGACGGUACUGACGCUGAGACGCGAAAGCGUGGGGAGCAAACAGGAUAGAAACC